CAAAACUUGGGAAAGCCAUAAUAAGCUUGUGUAGGGUUUUUGGAGUCCAAUAUGACAAGAUUGGUGUGUAUGACUGAGUAUAAGAAAGAGAAACGCAACCGGGAUCCUGAUUGCUAAAGUAGCGUAGAUGGAAUACAAAAACACGCAUAGGGACUUCGUCCUCCCAUACAAAACUUGGGGAAGCCAUAAAAAGCUUCUAUA
rnacentral:lncRNA from 1 species